GACGAACGCUGGCGGCGUGCUUAACACAUGCAAGUCGAACGGAAAGGCCCUGCUUUUGUGGGGUGCUCGAGUGGCGAACGGGUGAGUAACACGUGAGUAACCUGCCCUUGACUUUGGGAUAACUUCAGGAAACUGGGGCUAAUACCGGAUAGGAGCUCCUGCUUCAUGGUGGGGGUUGGAAAGUUUCGGCGGUUGGGGAUGGACUCGCGGCUUAUCAGCUUGUUGGUGGGGUAGUGGCUUACCAAGGCUUUGACGGGUAGCCGGCCUGAGAGGGUGACCGGCCACAUUGGGACUGAGAUACGGCCCAGACUCCUACGGGAGGCAGCAGUGGGGAAUAUUGCACAAGGGGCGGAAGCCUGAUGCAGCAACGCCGCGUGCGGGAUGACGGCCUUCGGGUUGUAAACCGCUUUCGCCUGUGACGAAGCGUGAGUGACGGUAAUGGGUAAAGAAGCACCGGCUAACUACGUG
rnacentral:rRNA from 1 species